rnacentral:rRNA from 1 species
UGGGGAAUAUUGGACAAUGGGGGAAACCCUGAUCCAGCCAUGCCGCGUGAGUGAUGAAGGCCUUCGGGUUGUAAAGCUCUUUUGGUGGGGACGAUGAUGACGGUACCCACAGAAUAGGCUCCGGCUAACUUCGUGCCAGCAGCCGCGGUAAUACGAAGGGAGCUAGCGUUGUUCGGAAUUACUGGGCGUAAAGGGCGCGUAGGCGGUCCGAUAAGUCAGAUGUGAAAGCCCUGGGCUUAACCCGGGAACUGCGUUUGAUACUAUCGGUCUUGAAUUCGGUAGAGGUUGGUAGAAUUCCCAGUGUAGAGGUGAAAUUCGUAGAGAUUGGGAAGAAUACCCGUGGCGAAGGCGGCCAACUGGACCGACAUUGACGCUGAGGCGCGAAAGCGUGGGGAGCAAACA